GAGUUUGAUCCUGGCUCAGGACGAACGCUGGCGGCGUGCCUAACACAUGCAAGUCGAACGAGAUCUGGCCCUUCGGGGUUCAGAUCAAGUGGCGAACGGGUGAGUAACACGUGAGAAACCUGCCCCGGAGACCGGGACAACCAGAGGAAACUUUGGCUAAUACCGGAUGUCCUAGGACAGUCGCAUGAUCGACCGAGAAAAGACUCCGGCGCUCCGGGAGGGUCUCGCGGCCUAUCAGCUUGUUGGUGGGGUAACGGCCUACCAAGGCAUUGACGGGUAGCUGGUCUGAGAGGACGAUCAGCCACACUGGGACUGAGACACGGCCCAGACUCCUACGGGAGGCAGCAGUGGGGAAUAUUGCGCAAUGGGCGCAAGCCUGACGCAGCAACGCCGCGUGGGGGAUGACGGCUUUCGGGUUGUAAACCCCUUUCAGCAGGGACGAAAAUGACGGUACCUGCAGAAGAAGCCCCGGCCAACUACGUGCCAGCAGCCGCGGUAACACGUAGGGGGCGAGCGUUGUCCGGAUUUAUUGGGCGUAAAGAGCUCGUAGGCGGUUGCGUAAGUCGGAUGUUAAAACUCAGGGCUCAACCCUGAGACGCCAUCUGAUACUGCGCUGACUAGAGUCCGGUAGGGGAGCAUGGAAUUCCUGGUGUAGCGGUGAAAUGCGCAGAUAUCGGGAGGAACACCAGUGGCGAAGGCGGUGCUCUGGGCCGGUACUGACGCUGAGGAGCGAAAGCGUGGGUCGCAAACAGGAUUAGAUACCCUGGUAGUCCACGCCGUAAACGGUGGGCACUAGGUGU
rnacentral:rRNA from 1 species